rnacentral:misc_RNA from 1 species
AACCAUUCUCACCUGCGGCUAGACCUGCGGAAGGAUCAUUAAAGAUUGACCGAAAGGUCUUAUCUCUAUAUCCCUCACCUCUGUGAACUGUGGACCUCCGGGUCUAUUUAACAAACAUCAGUGUAAUGAACGUAUAUAUCAUUAAACAAAACAAAACUUUCAACAACGGAUCU